GCUUACUAUCCUAGUGCCUAAAUACAAAGAUCCCAUCUGAUCUUGGAAACUAAGUAAGUUCAGCCCUGGAUAAUACUUGGAUGGGAGACUGCCAACAAAUAACCAGGCGCUGUAGGGU
rnacentral:rRNA from 11 species